UACGAAGGGGGCUAGCGUUACUCGGAUUGACUGGGCGUAAAGGGCGCGUAGGCGGUUUGUACAGUCAGACGUGAAAUUCCUGGGCUCAACCUGGGGGCUGCGUUUGAUACGUGCGGACUUGAGUUCGGAAGAGGGUCGUGGAAUUCCCAGUGUAGAGGUGAAAUUCGUAGAUAUUGGGAAGAACACCGGUGGCGAAGGCGGCGCUCUGGACCGAGACUGACGCUGAGGCGCGAAAGCGUGGGGAGCAAACAGG
rnacentral:rRNA from 1 species